rnacentral:rRNA from 1 species
CAGUAGCCACGGUAAUACAGAGGGUGCGAGCGUUAAUCGGAAUUACUGGGCGUAAAGCGUGCGCAGGCGGUUAUAUAAGACAGAUGUGAAAUCCCCGGGCUCAACCUGGGAACUGCAUUUGUGACUGUAUAGCUAGAGUACGGCAGAGGGGGAUGGAAUUCCGCGUGUAGCAGUGAAAUGCGUAGAUAUGCGGAGGAACACCGAUGGCGAAGGCAAUCCCCUGGGCCUGUACUGACGCUCAUGCACGAAAGCGUGGGGAGCAAACAGGAUUAGAGACCCCUGUAGUCCCUGUCUCUUAACA